AGCAAUUUGGCGCAGUGGAAGCGCGGUAUGUUUAGACUCCGGUCCUUAUCAAAUCCGAUUUCGUACUAACUCACCUCAGCCGGGCUCAUAACCCGGAGGUCGCACGAUCGAAACGUGCAAUUGCUA
rnacentral:tRNA from 1 species